CCUACGGGAGGCAGCAGUGGGGAAUAUUGGACAAUGGGGGCAACCCUGAUCCAGCGACGCCGCGUGUGUGAAGAAGGCCUGCGGGUUGUAAAGCACUUUUAGUGGGGAUGAAAAGCUCGGUGAUAACACCGCCGGGUCUUGACCUAACCCACAGAAAAAGCACCGGCUAACUCUGUGCCAGCAGCCGCGGUAAU
rnacentral:rRNA from 1 species